UCUUUAAGACCGAGUAUGUCACCUUCAAGAAGCAAAAUCAUACUGCGAGAGAAUGAAACGGAGAAGGGCCAGCGUACGCAACGCGCAUGUCCCUCGUGGAAGGAACCCCGUACAAAACAGGGAAAGGGAAAAAAGAAUAAACAACGUAAAGAGAAAAUGAUAAGUAAUUACUUAAUAACUACAAAGAAAGAGUCCUUCAGUUAUGUAUAGUAAACGUAAAAGGGGAGAAACGUAUGAUAGGGUAUAGAUUUUACAUAAAUUAUUUCUAUCACUUGGAUACAAUUUUUCAUACGUAUUUCUAGGUUUGUUAUUUUAAGAAUUUAUCAACAGGAAUAAUUAGAAUGCAUGAUACAGGAAAGAAUAUGGGGUUGAAGUCACUGAGAGUCAAUGACUCGUAAGAAGUAUCAGUAUGGCUUCGCAAGAGCAGUAUUUCGAAAAUAAGUACUAUACUUACAAUUUUCAAUUUUUCAAAUUAAUAGGAAUUUGGCGUUAUGAUAUGUCGCUACAGCAAUUGAUAUACAUUUGUGUUUUAAACUUUACGAUAGCCGUUGGAUCGCUUUUACAGGUAAGACUUAUCCUGAUGCGUGAUUAUAUUAAUAUAUGAUUACAAUGAAUGAAAUAAUAAUUUUAACUAAAACGACAGAAUAUUAAAUAUAACUAGUUCGACUUUAGAUUUAUUUGCUCUUCAUGUCAGAAGCGAAGAUAGUUCCCAUCAUCAAAUUAGUGGAAACAAUUCUACCUUCUUUAUGCUUCGCAGCUUGUUACUACAACAUAUUGUCGAAUACUACAAUUGUUCGUACUUGGCUCAAAUAUUUUAUUUAGAAUCAGAAGAGAUAAAGACGCAUAUUAGAAAAAAUUUUAUAUCGUAAAACUUUCAGAUGAAAAGGAUUUUGUAUCAUAUCAAAUGCGAUUGGGAUAAUCUGGCACACAAACCGGAAUUAAUAAUUUUAAAAGAAUAUGCUAAUCGUACAAGAAUGUACACAAUAACAAUCGCAAGUGAAAAAAGAAAUAAAAAUAUAUUAUUAAAGUGUUAAAAAAUUAUAAUGCUACACUAGAAAAAGAUAAUUAAUUGUUUCUACUAUUUCAGUCGCAUUUUAUCUAUAUAUCAUUUCUUUGAUAUUACCAUCCACUGUACGUAUCUUUCUACAUAAUUUUGAUGAAGCGAACGAAACCGGAUUAACCUUGCCAAUUGGUCUUGAUAAUUUUAUGAAAGAUCAAAUGAAUUACUAUUUGACACUUUUAUUGGAAUGCGUUUUCAUAUUCAUCAUAAGCACGAUAGGAAUUGCACACUACUCUAUGUUUGUAUUAAUUGUACAACAUACCUUUGCACUAUUUAAUAUAAUCGCUACGAAGAUAGAGAAAGGAUUUGAAUGUAAUACGGAUAAAUUGAAUGAUGCCAAUAAUUGUAAUAAAUUCGCACAGGAGUACAAAUGGCUCGUCGAUAUCAUAGAGUCGUAUGAUAACGCCAUUCAGUUUGUAUCAAAUUUUACAAGCCUAUUCUCUUUAUAAUUUAUACACAAAAGUACUAAUCGUUAAUAUUAAUAUUAUUGCUUAUCCUUCUUAUUAUUGCAUAUUUUCAAGAUUUGCAGAUUUAAUGAAGUUGUAUCUUGAAAAAAUUUAUCCGUUCGAAGUGUUCAUGUCGCUACUGUUUAUCAUCGUAAAUUACAUUUAUGUAAAUAAUUGAUAUAGAAAAAAUUUUGGAUCUUUUAUUUGCGAAAUUAAAGAGGCAUAAAUUUUCUUUCCAGUUGUUUCAGUUACUUUCUUAUAUGACGAAUACGAAUGAAGGAUUGCAAAAAUGUAUUUAUAUUAUCGGAUCUAUGUUCGUAAUAUAUAUAUACAAUUAUCUGGGACAAAAGUUAAUAGACUACCAUACAGAAAUAUACAUAAAAUUAUGCCAAAUUCCAUUUUACUCCUUAUCGUUGAAGACGCAAAAAAUAUUACUCUUUUUCAUAAUGAAGAGCACGGUGCCAUGCAAUUUAUCUAUGAAAGGAAUAAUCGUAUUAUCCCAUUAUCAUUUUGGCUCGGUAAA